CCUACGGGGUGCUGCAGUGAGGAAUAUUGGUCAAUGGGCGGGAGCCUGAACCAGCCAAGUCGCGUGAGGGAAGACGGUCCUACGGAUUGUAAACCUCUUUUGCCGGGGAGCAACGGGGUCCUUGCGAGGGCCCGAUGAGAGUACCCGGAGAAAAAGCAUCGGCUAACUCCGUGCCAGCAGCCGCGGUAAUACGGAGGAUGCGAGCGUUAUCCGGAUUUAUUGGGUUUAAAGGGUGCGUAGGCGGUAUGUCAAGUCAAGGGUGAAAUCCCCGCGCUCAACGUGGGAACUGCCUUUGAAACUGGCAAACUGGAGUGUGUGAGAGGAUAGUGGAAUUCCAGGUGUAGGAGUGAAAUCCGUAGAUAUCUGGAGGAACAUCAGUGGCGAAGGCGACUAUCUGGCACAUAACUGACGCUGAGGAGCGAAAGCGUGGGUAGCAAACAGGAUUAGAUACCCCAGUAGUC
rnacentral:rRNA from 1 species